CAAUCACUUCCCUGUUCCUGCUGGCCACACUACUUCUGAUACAAGCCAGGAUGCCGUUGGCCUUCUUGGCCACCUGGGCACACUGCUGGCUCAUGUUCAGUCUAGCGUCAAUCAACACCCCCAGGUCCAUUUCCUCUACACAGUCAAGGGAAUGAGGAACCUCAAUGAGGUUCACCUGGGCCACUGCUCAAGUCUGCCCAGGUCCCUCUGAAUGGUACCAUCCCUGUGGUGUGUCGACCACACCCCACAGCUUGGUGUCAUCAGCACACUUGCUGAGAGUGCACUCAAUCCCACUGUCAGUGUCAUUGAUGCAGAUAUUAAAGAGUAUUGGCCUCAACACUGACUGCUGGGGGACACCACUCAUCACAAUCUCCAUUCAGACACUGAGUUAUUGAACACUGCUCUCCGGACUCGAUCCUGUAGCUAGUUCUUUGUCCACUGAACAAUCCACCUAUCAAAUCCAUAUCUUUCCAGUUUGGGGAGGAAGAUGCACGGUACCGUGUCAAAGGCCUCACUGAAGUCAAAUAGAUUGUAUCAGUGGCUCUUCCCUUUUCUGUUGAUGCAGUGAUGCCAUCAUAGAAGGCCACCAGGCUGGUCAAGCAGGAUUUGUCCUUGGUGAGGCCACGCUGGUUCUCCUGUAUCACCUUCAUGUCUUCCAUGUGCCUUAGCAUAGCUUCCAGGAGAAUCUGCUCCAGGAUCUUCCCCAGCACAGAGAUGAGACUUGGUCUUGGUUGGUAGUUCCCAAGGUCAUUCUUUUUACCCUUAGGAACGGGUGUGAUGUUACCUUUUUUCCUGUAACCAUGGACUUCACCCCAUUGCCACAGCUUUUCAGACAUCAUUGUGAGUGGCUUGGCAACUACAUCAGCCAGUUCCCUCAGGACUCUGGGAUGUGUCUCAGCAGGACUCAUAGACUUGUGGAUGUUGGGGUUUCUCAGAUGGUCACAAAUCUGAUCUUUGCUUACAGUGGGAGGGAUGUUGCUUCUGCAAUCCCCUCCUACCAAACCAAAUGUCUGAGGGCUGUGUGGCAAGCACAGGACUGAAGGGAGUCCGCUCCCAUCCACUCGAUACCUAUGCUUUAGAUAUUUAUAAACAGUGACUAGAUCCCUCUCAGCCUUGUCUUCUGCAGGCUGAACAGUCUAAAGACGCUCGGCCUUUCUUCAUACAGGAGAUGAUCCCUGUCUUUUUUGAACUGAGAAGCCCAGAACUGGACACAGUAUUUCAGAUGAGGCCUCCCCAGUGCAGAGCAGGGUGGGGGGAGAACCUCCCUGGACCUGCUGGCUCUCCUCUUGUAAUGUACUCCUGGAUGCCUUUAGCCUUCUUGGCCACAAAAGCACACUGCUGACUCAUGGGCAACUUGUUGGCCACGAGGACAUCCAGGUCCUUCUCCACAAAGAUCUUUUUCAGCAGCCCAGCCCCUAAUGUGUGCUGAUGCAUGCAGGUAUUCCUCCCCAGGUGCAGAAUCCUACACUUGCCCUUGUUGAACCUCCUAAUGUUCCUCUCUGCCCGACUCUGCUCCGUGCAGCUCUCACCAAAGGGCAGCACAGCCUUCUGUGUGUCAGUCACUCCUCCCAGCUUUGUAUCAUCAGCAAACUUGCUGAGAGUGGACACUGUCCCUUCAUCCAGAUCACUAACUGUCACGGAGUUAUCUGAGUCCGUGACAAGGGGGGCACAGUAAUUCACUAAAUCCAAUGAAAUCAAGCCAAAUGAGAGAGAAGAGUACGGAAGUGAGAGGGAAGCACGUGCCCUUCUCCACAGCAAGCUGAGCCAGCCCAACGGAGGGAGAGACGGCCGCAGCCCCGGAGGUCUGCCGCACUGCCUCUCCACACCAAGUCCUCCAGGGAUGCUGCCCCUCCCCUCCCAUCAGAACACCCAAAAUGCCAAUAAGAGGCAGUAAACGGAACCAGAACGUUAACUCUUUAACUUCCACUGGUUCAUGUGAUGGUCUGAUGUGGAAUACUGACACCAAAAAUCACCAAACUGCAGCAUUAAUGAAGAUGCUGAACAAGACUGGAUGCAGUACCAACCCCUGAGGAGCACCACUCGCUGUAGACCUCCAACUCUAUAGACCUCUUCACCACUGAUGAGAACACUCUGAGCUCUAUCCACCUCCGUUCCCAGUUUACCUCACUCAUCUUUCCCACACUUCUAAGCUUACCUAUGAGGAAGUUAUGGAAAACAGUGUCAAAAGCUUUGUUGAAGUCAAGGUGUAUGACAUCCACUGCUCUCCCCCCAUCUACUCAGUCGGUGAUGACAGCAUAGAAGACUGCCAGGCCGCGUGCUGUACAAGAGGCGCUGCCACCUCCUGGCUGAGCUCUUCAGGCAGAAGCGCAGAGCACGUAUCACCUGCCAUCCCCCUGCUAGCUCAGGAGAUGCAGUUUGGAUUCAGUCGGUGCACCCUGGAUUCCUCUUGGUAGCUUGCAGAGGUUAGCUGAUCCCUGUAUGGAAGAUGCGUGGUUCCUUCAGUUUGGUCGCUCUGUUCUGUCAACUUCUUCCUACAUACGAGUGUGAAAGGAGUGUGGGCAGGAUCACUUCCAGGCUGGGGCUCCCGUUUAAUCUCUGCACUUACUUACAGAAGUCAUUUUGUUAAUAACUUCAGAGCAUGCAGAUGCGGAUAGGACACUGGAUGUCUUUACAGUAGCACCCAGAAUUCUGAGAGAGGUAUUUCGCCCUCUGGUGGCCAUAUAUGUGACUUCCAGUGUCAAAAAGGUGACGAAGGGACCUGUGCUGACUUACAGACAUGGCCUCGUUUCUGGGCAUUUUGGGGUUUCCACUCACCCCAAGGCUUAGCAGAGGAAAGGGGGUGAGGGAAGUUCAUAUAGUCUGUCCCUAGCAAGUCUCCUUUGCUGCUGAGGACAGACUGGACCUGUGUGAGAGAUGGUGUUACUGUUGUUCUCCUUGGUGCCUAAAUUCUUGGGAUUCAAGAUCUCUAGUUAAAGGUAUGAAAGAAAGCACAGGGACUUGAGUCCCAGCGUUACACCAGAAAGAGUUUUGAAGUUUUACAAAGGUAAAUAAUGCUGGUGCGAUGAUUAUGUUAUUACGAGGAGUGAGAAAACUGAGCUUCUUACCACCUUUUAUUCAAUCUAAAUGCACUAUUUUAUUCCCUUUUUAUCCAGUAAAAUACCUGAAAAUAGUCUUACUUGGAACACAGAUAAGAAACUGCUGGCGAUUACAGAUACUGUUGUGGAAUGGCUGGCAGGGCUUGGUGCACAAUAACCUUCAAUUAAAGUAAUUGAAAAUGCCCUGCGUGCAUUCUGUGAUAGAAGGCAGUAAAAAGAUGGCAGAGGUGUCAAAGCUCUCUCGCAAUGGGUACAUUUUAAAAUCAGACUCUUUAUUUUUAAACUUUUGCAUUUAUUUUGAGUUCUUUAGAUCUCCAUACAGCCAAACUUAAACCUGUGUCACUGCCUUUACCUGGUCCUUCUGGAGCAAAGCCUCCUAUUUUAUUCAGUUUGUUUCUAAGGUUGGAAAGAGGACUGGGCUUCAGCUGAGAAACAGGGCCGAGGGGCUCCUCAGGCAUGCCAGUACAGGGCCAAGCUGGGGUUGUGCUUCACAUUCCAAUCCUCAUCCCCCCAGCCCCCUCCCUUUCACCCCUUCUAGUUUUCGAUUAGACACACUUGAUUUGCUCCUUCUCUGAACUCUUGCCACGACAGUCUAAAAUUAAUGCUAACGUGGUAGGAAAAGUUACUCUUUUGGAAGACUUGUGGGAAGGAAACGCUGUUCUGGGUUCAGAGUAUUUCUAAGCAGACCUCAGACUUCAUUGACCCAGAACUUGAGGUUGGUAAGGCUGCAAAGUAUUUCAGAAACACUGAUUCUAACAGAGGGGAGCAAAUCGUAUGAAACUCUGUAACGGACUUGGAAUGCAUAGAGGAAAUUGUUUUCCAUUGAAAAGCAGUAAGAAACCUAGGUUCCUUUUCUUGCCUGCCACCAUGGGGGCUUUAAUGGGGCUGCAGGAAGCCCCCCAGCUCCUGUGGUCAUUUUUGAGGAGGGGUAGUCAUUCCUCAGGGUGCGUUGCAGGUGCACAGCACAGGGGCGGUUCUGUCAUACACGGGGGUCGGUCCCACAGGGGGGGCACCACAGGGGCGCAGAAUGGCAGCGUGCUCCUCCUCUACGGACACGGAGCAGCGCCAGGCAUGUGGGCAGGCCCAGCACGUGUGGCUCUGCCUGAGAAAACAUGGUAGGGGGUAGGGCAGCCCUACAUCACUGUCACCCCCUGGUGUCCCAGUCACCCCCUGUGGCCCCAUUCCUCUGCCUGUGGCCUUACUGACCCCCCACAUAAAUCCCAGGACUCUCAUAGCACCCCUACAGACUCCCUCUAUAGCUCCCACAACUGCUUAUAGGACGCUCGCAGCCGCCCUCCCAAGACCCUUCGAGCACCCCACAGCACCCCAGAGAUCCCAUGAGCACCUACAGCAACCCACAGACCCCAGGACCUCUGCAGCAUUUCACAGCCUACCCAAAGCUCCCAGGACUGUCUAUAGAAGCUCUACAGCUCCUAGGAUUACUUACAGACACCUGUAGCCCCCUGUAGUGGAACUCCUGAACAUGAGCACGUGACUGCCUGGAGUUGGGGGGGGGAGGGGGGCUGGAGCCACUCUUUCUGUCCCAACUGAUGCUUCUGGGAGCACUGUGUGCACACUUCUGUGUGCAAUCUGAGCCUGCGCGGGUGCCCCUUCUGCCAGCCCUUCUCCUGCAGUGCCGGUACGGACAGAAGGCUGCGUCCCUCAGCUCACGACUUUCUCCAAGCUGUCAGUGGGAGGGAAGAGUUAAUUUCCAAAGGAAAUAUCUUUGGAAAUAUCAAUGGGAUAUCUUUUCCUAUAGCGCCCAUUUCUCACAUACAGGCCCUGUCAUCGCCUCUGUUUGCUCUACACCCCCUUAGAGCUCCAAGGACCCCUGUAGCAACACCAUCCCCCACAGACCCUAUGGACCCCAGAGUUCCCUAUGCCCACUUAUGCACCCCUAUAUGUCCCACAGCCCCCCUACAGCUUCAAUAGCCCGUCUAUAGUUCUAUACAGCCCUCCACAGCCCCCAGAGGCUCCCCACAAAAUCCACGAGGCCCCCUUAUCAUCCCAACAGCACCCCGACAGCUCCCAGGACCCCACGGCGCCCCCCCAGCAGCCCAAAUCCUAUCGGCUCCACAGCCCUCCGGGGUACCCCCGAG
ensembl:lncRNA